rnacentral:lncRNA from 1 species
UCGACGUCGGCGACCUCGUUGCCGGAACCCCUGCCGGCUGGACUGGAGCCAUGCUCCCCACCACCUCGUGCUGCUAGGGCAUCGUUGCCUGCCGUCGGGGCCACCUCCCGUCGCCGGCCAACGCGCGCCCUUACCUCUCUACGUCCCUCGCGUCCGCCUGCCGCCGGCUCUCCCACCGUCAGGCCGCCACCGGCCAACCCUAGCUCUCCCCUGGCCGAUAAGCAAAAUUAUU